AAAAACAGUUAUUAUUACAUCACCCGAAUAUAAAAGAUCUAAGUGUAUAUUAAGUUAUUAGACUAUAUUGUUGUGUUCUGUGGCAUUAGUUACUAAGACAAUACCUUAGAGGUGAAAGGCCUCCAAUUUUGUAGAUAACUGGAUAAAUGUUAAAUAUAUUAAGUUUAAAAUAAACUUACAUAGUGAUAAGAUUUUGUAAGGUAUAAAUUUUUGUGUAAUUUAUUGCUGCCAGAGACUAAUAAUUUUAGGCACAUCUUUGACGACUAAUAAUGUUACAAUAUAACAAUUAUAUAUCAACAUUUUACUGUACUAUGUCUCCCUAGUAAGUAAAUAAUGUAUAAAUAAGUAUAUAUAAAUUAAAUUUUAAAUAAGGAACUCGGCAAAUAAAGAGUACGACUGUUUAACAAAAACAUAGCCGGUAGUUAUAUAAUUAUCGGUGAUACCUGCCCAGUGAAUUUUCAACGGCCGCAGUACUAUGACUGUGCAAAGGUAGCAUAAUCAUUUGGCUUUUAAUUGAAGUCUGGCAUGAAAGGAUAAACGUACUUUAGCUGUCUACAUACAAAAUUUAUUAAAAUUAUUUAUAGGGUGAAAAUACCCUAGUUAAGAAAAAAAGACGAGAAGACCCUUAGAAUUUUAAGCAGAAGCCAACUCUGGUAGGGCGUGAUUUUUGUUGGGGCAACAUUUUUUCAGGAGAACAAAAGAUUUAUAUUAAAACUACAAAACGAAUGUGUUUAAUAAAGUAAAAAUUACCUAAGGGAUAACAGCAUAAUUUUAAGUAAAGAUUGUGACCUCGAUGUUGGAUUAGGAACUAUUAAGGCUAGUCGUUUUAAUAUAAUAGGUUCUGUUCGAACUUUAUUUCCUA
rnacentral:rRNA from 1 species